GACAGAGGGGGCAAGCGUUGCUCGGAAUUACUGGGCGUAAAGCGCACGUAGGCGGAUAUUUAAGUCAGGGGUGAAAUCCCAGAGCUCAACUCUGGAACUGCCUUUGAUACUGGGUAUCUCGAGUAUGGAAGAGGUGAGUGGAAUUCCGAGUGUAGAGGUGAAAUUCGUAGAUAUUCGGAGGAACACCAGUGGCGAAGGCGGCUCACUGGUCCAUUACUGACGCUGAGGUGCGAAAGCGUGGGGAGCAAACAGG
rnacentral:rRNA from 1 species